UACGUAGGGGGGCAAGCGUUGUCCGGAUUUAUUGGGCGUAAAGAGCGUGUAGGCGGCCUGAAAGGUCAGCUGUGAAAACUCGAGGCUCAACCUCGAGACGUCGGUUGAAACCAUCUGGCUAGAGUCCGGAAGAGGAGUGUGGAAUUCCCGGUGUAGCGGUGAAAUGCGCAGAUAUCGGGAAGAACACCCGUGGCGAAGGCGGCCCACUGGGCCGGUACUGACGCUGAGGCGCGAAGGCGUGGGGAGCGAACGGG
rnacentral:rRNA from 1 species